rnacentral:lncRNA from 10 species
CCUAAAACUGGGCCUAAUGAGUCAUUGCUUAGACUCUUAGUUUUGAGAGAAAAAUCUGUUUUUAAAUUAGAGAAAUGUUAAAAGAAUGUGAAAGACCUCGGAUUUAUUCUCUCUUCCCUUUUCUGCUAAUAGGUAAAUUUUAUUUUUCUAUUCAUAUGUUUAUCUACACAUCUCACUAGACAUACGGAUUUUUUUUUUUUUUUUUUUUGCUGUAAAUAUAGCUAUAGAUCACAUAUAAAUCACAUUUCCAUAA